UCAAACCAAAGCUGGCGACCGGCGCACGGGUGAGUAACACGUAUCCAACCUGCCUCAUACUCGGGGAUAGCCUUUCGAAAGAAAGAUUAAUAUCCGAUAGCAUAUAUUUCCCGCAUGGGUUUUAUAUUAAAGAAAUUCGGUAUGAGAUGGGGAUGCGUUCCAUUAGUUUGUUGGGGGGGUAACGGCCCACCAAGACUACGAUGGAUAGGGGUUCUGAGAGGAAGGUCCCCCCCAUUGGAACUGAGACACGGUCCAA
rnacentral:rRNA from 1 species